AGUGAACGCUGGCGGUAGGCCUAACACAUGCAAGUCGAACGGCAGCACAGUAAGAGCUUGCUCUUACGGGUGGCGAGUGGCGGACGGGUGAGGAAUACAUCGGAAUCUACUUUUUCGUGGGGGAGAACGUAGGGAAACUUACGCUAAUACCGCAUACGACCUACGGGUGAAAGCAGGGGAUCUUCGGACCUUGCGCGAUCGAAUGAGCCGAUGUCGGAUUAGCUAGUUGGCGGGGUAAAGGCCCACCAAGGCGACGAUCCGUAGCUGGUCUGAGAGGAUGAUCAGCCACACUGGAACUGAGACACGGUCCAGACUCCUACGGGAGGCAGCAGUGGGGAAUAUUGGACAAUGGGCGCAAGCCUGAUCCAGCCAUACCGCGUGGGUGAAGAAGGCCUUCGGGUUGUAAAGCCCUUUUGUUGGGAAAGAAAAGCAGCAGGUUAAUACCCCGCUGUUCUGACGGUACCAAAAGAAUAAGCACCGGCUAACUUCGUG
rnacentral:rRNA from 1 species